ACCAGUCCCAAGAUUAGCCAUGCAUGUCUCAGUACAAGCCGAAUUAAGGUGAAACCGCGAAUGGCUCAUUAAAUCAGUUAUGGUUCCUUGGAUCUUACCCAAACAUACAUGGAUAACUGUGGUAAUUCUAGAGCUAAUACAUGAACCUCGUGCGCCGACUAGUGAUGGAAGGGGCGCUUUUAUUAGAACAAAACCAAUCGGUCGGCUCGUCCGUCCGUUGCCUUGGUGACUCUGAAUAACUUUGGGCUGAUCGCACGGUCCCAGCACCGGCGACGCAUCUUUCAAAUGUCUGCCUUAUCAACUUUCGAUGGUAGGUUCUGCGCCUACCAUGGUUGUUACGGGUGACGGGGAAUCAGGGUUCGAUUCCGGAGAGGGAGCCUGAGAAACGGCUACCACAUCCAAGGAAGGCAGCAGGCGCGCAAAUUACCCACUCCCGGCACGGGGAGGUAGUGACGAAAAAUAACGAUACGGGACUCAUCCGAGGCCCCGUAAUCGGAAUGAGAACACUUUAAAUCCUUUAACGAGGAUCUAUUGGAGGGCAAGUCUGGUGCCAGCAGCCGCGGUAAUUCCAGCUCCAAUAGCGUAUAUUAAAGUUGUUGCGGUUAAAAAGCUCGUAGUCUGAGGUGUGUCUCGGACGGUCGGUUCGCCGCUUGUCGGUGCUCAACUGGCCGGUCCGGACGUCCUGCCGGUGGGGCUGUAAAAGGCUCCGUUAUCCUUCUUUGGUCCUCUUCAUUGAGUGCCUUGGUGGGCCGGCACGUUUACUUUGAACAAAUUAGAGUGCUCAAAGCAGGCCGUUGGUCGCCUGAAUACUGUGUGCAUGGAAUAAUGGAAUAGGACCUCGGUUCCAUUUUGUUGGUUUUCAGAACUCGAGGUAAUGAUUAAUAGGUACGGACGGGGGCAUUCGUAUUGCGACGUUAGAG
rnacentral:rRNA from 1 species